rnacentral:rRNA from 1 species
GCUAACGGCCAUACCAUGCUGAAAACACCGGUUCUCGUCUGAUCACCGGAGUUAAGCAGCAUUGGGUGUGGUUAGUACUUGGAUGGGUGACCGCUUGGUAACACCACGUGCUGUUGGCU